rnacentral:rRNA from 1 species
CACGUAGGGCGCAAGCGUUGUCCGGAAUUAUUGGGCGUAAAGAGCUCGUAGGCGGUCUGUUACGUCCGCUGUGAAAACCCGGGGCUUAACCCCUGGCUUGCAGUGGAUACGGACAGACUAGAGGUAGGUAGGGGAGAAUGGAAUUCCCGGUGUAGCGGUGAAAUGCGCAGAUAUCAGGAGGAACACCGAUGGCGAAGGCAGCCUCCUGGGAUGACACUGACGCUCAUACACGAAAGCGUGGGGAGCAAACAGG